CCAAAGUGGCACAGGUGACCAAAACCAACAAGGGCAUUGGCUUCGCCAGCACAUGGCCCUGUGCCGGCACUUCUCAGGCAAUGUGUUGCUCAUGGCACAGGAUGAAGCGCUGGCCUGUGUGGCUGUGCAGCAGCUGCAGUCCCAGGGCCUCAGACCCUGCUUCCACCAUGGGGAUAUCAGCGACCUACGGAGCAUCCUUACCCUGCAGGACUUCCAGCAGAAGGAGCAUGUGGCCUCAAUGUGCUAGUCAACAACACAGGCAUAGUCUUCAGGAGUAAGUUGAUGUGAAUUCCAAGGGGAGGCAGCACCCGUGAAGGCAGACUGACAGGCUCCUGAUUCUUCACCCUUUCAUAUUAAAGCAGAAGUGGUCAUGAAAACAAAGUUUUUGGUGCCCUAAACGUCUGAAAGGAGCUACUACCUCUCCUAAAACACCAAGAUCUGAGGAUACAAAGAACAAUCUGGAAUGGUUUCCACAGCAUCUCUGUGGGAAGCAGAAAACAUCCAAAAGGGGAAUGUGCUGUUUCUUUUUGGAGUGGAAAGAGAAAAAGAGAGUAUUGUGACCUUAAGGAUCACUGAGCAAUAAUAGUGAAUUUCUUUUUAUUUUUAAUUCUUUCUUAAAAGAAUUAUUCUGAAAUACUCUAGACACACAAAAGGUAAGAUCUACCCUUCCAGGUACCCUUUACCGAGCUUCACCAAUCAAUGAAUACCAAUGCCAUUUAAAUCCCUUCACUGCUUCCCAUCUCAUUUCCUUCCUGCUCCCCAAAGUAAGCAUAAUCUUGAAUUUGAAGAAUGCUCUCUUUAAUGUUGGUAGGCUGUGAUUCUGUUUUUUUCUCCUUAAAUUAUACUAUAUAUUUAUUCUGAAAAUACAUUAAUGAAUAACCAUCUGUGAGGAAUCAAGCAAACAUUUGAAAUCUGGACACUCUUGUUCAUCACAUACUAGCUUGAAGAGUCCUAGGAGGAAAUAAACAGGUUUUUCAUGGCUACAUUCACCAAGUAAAUCUCUAAAGAAGUUGUGACCAGCCUUGAUUUGAACAGACAUCAAUUGACCAUCAGAGGAUUUCCUACACAGAACAACAGGAGUUUGAGAGAUCCAGGCAGAUAUACACCUGAAGGUGAGUGGACUAGGCCCCUGGGAACAGUGGAACUAGAGAAGCACCCCUCUCUCCCACCCCUAGGGCAGUGAUCCAGGAGGCAGACAUGCAUGCAGUUGCCUGUGGGAACUGUGAGUGGAGGGAGGGAAGCCAUACCCCAGGCACCCAAAGCAGUGAUGGUCCAUGGGAGUGCAAAUGUCCAAGGAGUGGCAGUGGUGCUUGGUUACAGUCUCAGACAUAUGCAAAUGUCCCUGGGGAGGUGGCACCACUGGUGGUGGCCCUGCAUGCACACAAACACUGGAGCAGUGGUCCCACACAUGCACAGCACCCAUGGAGCACCAGGCCCUGGGGGUGGCCCCAUGGGUGCAUAAAUGGCCCCAAGGAGGUGGCAGCAGCAUUAUAAAGGUGUGGGCAUGAACAUGAAUGUCCAAAGAGCAGCAGCAGCAGCGUGGUGGCAAUGCCACCACAUGAUGUUUGGUGGAGGAGCAGCAGAGGCAGUGGCCUGACCCACACAACUGCAAAUACCCAGGGAGGAAGCACUCAGCCCCCAGUAGAGGCACCCCAAACAUCAUCUCCAUCAGCAGUAGGGGCUGCAUAUAAGUCUCCAGGUUCCCAGGCCCACAACAAUGACAGUGUCACCCACAAAUGCAGCACCUCUGGCAGUGGUGCAACCAGCACCCCCAGGUAACUGGGAAACAGCAACACAGGUGGUGCACAAGACAACAACAUCUGAGCCCAUGGAUAACCAGGGGAGGAACACAAGACCCAGGCAACCAGAGUGAACAUAACCAAAGACAUACUCAAAUAAGAGAAGGUGAUUACUACCACAAAUGUGCCAGCAGAGGAUCGAUUCAUCAAACACCAUGAAGAACUACAGUAACACUGCAGAACAGAAGGAAAAUGACAAGUCACCAGAAACCAAGCCUGAAGUCACAGAACAUUACAAUCUAAAUGACAAAGAAUUCAAAAUAGCUGUCAUAAAGAAACUCAAUAAGUUACAAGAAAACAAACAAAGCCAGUUCAAUGAGCUCAGGAAUAAAAUUAAUGAACAGAAAGAAUACUUCACCAAAGAGAUUGAAGCCCUUAAAAAAAACAUACAAAAUUCUGGAUAUGAAGAACACAGUUACUAAGAUAAAAAAUAAUGUAGAAACCAUAAAAACAGAGCAAGACCUUAUGGGGGAGAGAAUUAGUGACAUAGAAGAUAGAAAUCAAGAAAUGGUCUCAGUUGGAAGAGGCAGGAGAAACAAGAUUUUUUAAAAUGAAAAAAUUAUUUAAGAAAUAUCCAACUGAAUUAGGGAAAGUAAUGUAAGGAUUAUAGGUAUCCCAGAGGGAGAAGAGAGAAAGAAAGGAGCAGAGCGCUCGUUCAAACAACUAAUAGUUGAGAACCUCACAAACCUAGGGAAAGAACUGGACUUACAAGUACAUGAAGCCAAGAGAACUCCUAAUUACAUCAAUGCAAAAAGAACUUCUCCAAGGUAUAUAAAAUUAAAACUGUAAAAGUCAAUGAC